ACCCGACUCGUACAAGGGUAGUACAUCGGUCUCCAAAACCGAAAAUUAAUGUUCGAAUCGUUAGUCGGGUGCCA
rnacentral:tRNA from 1 species